rnacentral:rRNA from 1 species
UACGGAGGGAGCUAGCGUUGUUCGGAAUUACUGGGCGUAAAGCGCACGUAGGCGGCUUUGUAAGUUAGAGGUGAAAGCCCGGGGCUCAACCCCGGAAUUGCCUUUAAGACUGCAUCGCUUGAAUCCGGGAGAGGUGAGUGGAAUUCCGAGUGUAGAGGUGAAAUUCGUAGAUAUUCGGAAGAACACCAGUGGCGAAGGCGGCUCACUGGAUCGGUAUUGACGCUGAGGUGCGAAAGCGUGGGGAGCAAACAGG